AGCCGACCUGAGAGGGAUGAUUCGGCCCACACUGGGACUGAGACACGGGCCCAGACUCCUACCGGGAGGCAGCAGUAGGGAAAUCUUCCGCAAUGGGCCGAAAGUCUGACGGAGCAACGCCGCGUGAGUGAUGAAGGUUUUCGGAUCGUAAAGGUCUGUUGUUAGGGAAGAACAAGUACCGUUCGAAUAGGGCGGUACCUUGACGGUACCUAACCAGAAAGCCACGGCUAACUACGUGCCAGCAGCCGCGGUAAUACGUAGGUGGCAAGCGUUGUCCGGAAUUAUUGGGCGUAAAGGGCUCGCAGGCGGUUUCUUAAGUCUGAUGUGAAAGCCCCCGGCUCAACCGGGGAGGGUCAUUGGAAACUGGGGAACUUGAGUGCAGAAGAGGAGAGUGGAAUUCCACGUGUAGCGGUGAAAUGCGUAGAGAUGUGGAGGAACACCAGUGGCGAAGGCGACUCUCUGGUCUGUAACUGACGCUGAGGAGCGAAAGCGUGGGGAGCGAACAGGAUUAGAUACCCUGGUAGUCCACGCCGUAAACGAUGAGUGCUAAGUGUUAGGGGGUUUCCGCCCCUUAGUGCUGCAGCUAACGCAUUAAGCACUCCGCCUGGGGAGUACGGUCGCAAGACUGAAACUCAAAGGAAUUGACGGGGGCCCGCACAAGCGGUGGAGCAUGUGGUUUAAUUCGAAGCAACGCGAAGAACCUUACCAGGUCUUGACAUCCUCUGACAAUCCUAGAGAUAGGACGUCCCCUUCGGGGGCAGAGUGACAGGUGGUGCAUGGUUGUCGUCAGCUCGUGUCGUGAGAUGUUGGGUUAAGUCCCGCAACGAGCGCAACCCUUGAUCUUAGUUGCCAGCAUUCAGUUGGGCACUCUAAGGUGACUGCCGGUGACAAACCGGAGGAAGGUGGGGAUGACGUCAAAUCAUCAUGCCCCUUAUGACCUGGGCUACACACGUGCUACAAUGGACAGAACAAAGGGCAGCGAAACCGCGAGGUUAAGCCAAUCCCACAAAUCUGUUCUCAGUUCGGAUCGCAGUCUGCAACUCGACUGCGUGAAGCUGGAAUCGCUAGUAAUCGCGGAUCAGCAUGCCGCGGUGAAUACGUUCCCGGGCCUUG
rnacentral:rRNA from 2 species